rnacentral:rRNA from 1 species
AGCGAACGCUGGCGGCAGGCCUAACACAUGCAAGUCGAACGAACUCUUCGGAGUUAGUGGCGGACGGGUGAGUAACACGUGGGAACGUGCCUUUAGGUUCGGAAUAACUCAGGGAAACUUGUGCUAAUACCGAAUGUGCCCUUCGGGGGAAAGAUUUAUCGCCUUUAGAGCGGCCCGCGUCUGAUUAGCUAGUUGGUGAGGUAAAGGCUCACCAAGGCGACGAUCAGUAGCUGGUCUGAGAGGAUGAUCAGCCACAUUGGGACUGAGACACGGCCCAAACUCCUACGGGAGGCAGCAGUGGGGAAUCUUGCGCAAUGGGCGAAAGCCUGACGCAGCCAUGCCGCGUGAAUGAUGAAGGUCUUAGGAUUGUAAAAUUCUUUCACCGGGGACGAUAAUGACGGUGCCCGGAGAAGAAGCCCCGGCUAACUUCGUG